rnacentral:rRNA from 1 species
GAUGAACGCUGGCGGCGUGCCUAAUACAUGCAAGUCGAGCGAACGGACGAGAAGCUUGCUUCUCUGAUGUUAGCGGCGGACGGGUGAGUAACACGUGGAUCACCUACUUAUAUGUCUGGGAUAAUUUCGGGAAACCGUAGAUAAUACCGGAUAAUAUUUUGAACCGCAUGGUUCAAAAGAGAAUGACGGUCUUGGUGCCUCUUAUAGCUGGAUCCGCGCUGCAUUAGCUAGUUGGUAAGGUAACGGCUUACCAAGGCUACGAUGCAUAGCCGACCUGAGAGGGUGAUCGGCCACACUGGAACUGAGACACGGUCCAGACUCCUACGGGAGGCAGCAGUAGGGAAUCUUCCGCAAUGGGCGAAAGCCUGACGGAGCAACGCCGCGUGAGUGAUGAAGGUCUUCGGAUCGUAAAACUCUGUUAUUAGGGAAGAACAGAUGUGUAAGUAACUGUGCACAUCUUGACGGUACCUAAUCAGAAAGCCACGGCUAACUACGUG